rnacentral:other from 1 species
CUCCCUGCGUGGUACGUGUAGCUUGGAAUUUUAGAACCAACAAACAUUAAACGGGAGUCUGCCUUUGGAUGUGGCGUGUAUGCUUGCAUUUAUGUAAGAAACCCAUGAGCAUUCAACAAGACACCCACCUACGAAAGUAGGUCCUUAAAAUUUCACUGGAACUUACGGCUAAUGUGGGGUUU